CACGGAGAAGGAGGAGCUAGCGAUGAGGGGUGAUCGAUGCCACCGAGAAGGAGGAUCUAACGAUGAGGGGUGAUCGAUGCCACGGAGAAGGAGGAUCUAGCGGUGAGGGGUGAUCGAUGCCACUGAGAAGGAGGAUCGAGCGAUGAGGGGUGAUCGAUGCCACUGAGAAGGAGGAUCUAGAGAUGGGGACCUGAGUCCUUGGACAAUGCCUCAGGACAACCUGGCCUGAUGACUCCUGGCUGUCCCCAGUCCACCUGGUUGUGCUGCUCCUCCAGUUUCAACUUUUCUGCCUGCUGCUAUGGAACCCUGACCUAUUCACCGGACCUAUCUGUCCCAGACCUGCUGUUUUCAACUCUCUAGAGACAGCAGGAGCGGUAGAGAUACUCUCAAUGAUCGGCUAUGAAAAGCCAACUGACAUUUACUCCUAAGGUACUGACCUGUUGCACCCUCUACAACCACUGUGAUUAUUAUUUGACCCUUCUGGUCAUUUAUGAAUGUUUGAACAUCUUGAAGAACAAUCUGGCCUUAAAUAGCCAUAUACUCUUAUAAUCUCCACCCGACACAGCCAGAAGAGGACUGGCCACCCCUCAGAGCCUGGUUCCUCUCUAGGUUUCUUCCUAGGUUCUGGCCUUUCUAUGUAGUUUUUCCUAGCCACCGUGCUUCUACACCUGCAUUGCUUGCUGUUUGGGGUUUUAGGCUGGGUUUCUGUACAGCACUUUGUGACAUCAGCUGAUGUAAGAAGGGCUAUAUAAAUAGAUUUGAUUUAAUGCAGCUGUUGUCCACACCAGAUACUGACUGUUACACCAGAUACUGACUCACACUUAGACAGGCUGACCGCAACAGUGAAUCAACCCACCCAGGUGACGCACCCCCCCCCCCCAGGGACGGCAUGAGAGAGCCCCAGUAAGCCAGUGACUCAGCCCCCGUAACAGGGUAGAGGCAGAGAAUCUCCUGUCUCCUGGUAGCGCCACCAUGCUCUGGACACUACGCUGACAGACACAGCAAACCCUCUUGCCACAGCUCGCAUUGAUGUGCCGUCCUGGAUGAGCUGCACUACCUGAGCCACUUGUGUGGGUUGUAGACUCCGUCUCAUGCUACCACUAGAGUAGUGGUGAAAUCACCGCCAGCACUCAAAAGUGAACAAAACAUCAGCCAGGAAGCAUAGGAACUGAGAAGUAGUCUGGUCACCACCUGCAGAAGCACUCCUUUAUUGGGGGUGUCUUGCUAAAUGCCUAUAAUUUCCACCUGUUGUCUAUUCCAUUUGCACAACAGCAUGUGAAAUGUAUUGUCAAUCAGUGUUGCUUCCUAAGUGGACAGUUUGAUUUCACAGAAGUGGGAUUGACUUGGAGUUACAUUGUGUUGUUUAAGUGUUCCCUUUAUUUUUUUGAGUAGUGUAUAUAUAUGUAUGUGUCAUGUUCCAGAGUGGCACAUCUCAGUGCAAGAGGCUUCACUACAGUCCCUGGUUCGAAUUCAGGCUGUGUCACAUCUGACCGUGAUUGGGAGUGCCAUAGGGCGGCGUACAAUCGGACUAGCGUCAUCCAGGUUUGACUGGGGUAGGCCUUCAUUGUAAAUAAGAAUUUGUUCUUACCUGACUUGCCUAGUUAAAUAAAGGUUCAAUUGAACCUUUUGGGGAUAGGGGCAGCAUUUUCACUUUUGGAUUAAUAGCGUGCCCAGAGUGAACUGCCUUCUACUCUGUCCCAGAUGCUAAUAUAUGCAUAUUGUUAUUAGUAUUGGAUAGAAAACACUCUGAAGUUUCUAAAACUGUUUGAAUGAUGUCUGUGAGUAUAACAGAACUCAUAUGGCAAAAUCCAACCAGGAAGUGGGAAAUCUGAGGUUUGUAGUUUUUCAACUCAGCCCCCAUUGAAGAUACAGGGUGAUAUUAGUUAUGUUUCACUUCCCAAAACUUCCACUAGAUGUCAACAGUAUUUAGAACCUGUUUUGAGGAUUCUACUCUAAAGGAGGGGUUCAUAAAGGCUCUUUGAGUGAGUGGUCUGGCAGAGUGCCACAGCCUCGGUCUGGCGCGCUCACGUGAAAGGUAAUUACGUUCCACUUCAUUUGUACAGACAAAGGAAUUGUCCGGUUGGAACAUUAAUUAAGUUUUAUGUUAAAAAACAUCCUAAAGAUUGAUUCCAUACUUAGGUUGGCAUGUUUCUAUGGGCUGUAAUGGAACUUUUUGAACUUUUCGUCCGACGUUCGGCCCGUCCUGAACGCGCUUUGGAUUUGUUUUCCAAACGCCCUAACAAAAGAAGAUAUUUGGACAUAACUGAUGGACAUUUUCGAACAAAUCAAACAUUUAUGGUGGAACUGGGAAUCCUGGGAGUGCAAUCUGAUGAAGAUCAUCAAAGGUAAGUGAAUUUUUAAAAUGCUAUUUCUGAGUAAUGUUGACUACCCGAUAUGGCGGGUAUCUUUUUGGCUGCUUUGUUGUCUAAAGGCUGUUCUAAGAUUAUUGCAUGGUUUGCAUUCUCUGUAAAAAAAAAUUGAAAUCUGACACAGCGGUUGCAUUAAGGAGAAGUUUAUCUAAAGUUCCAUGUAUAAUAGUCAUAUCUUUAUCAAUGUUUAUUAUGAGUAUUUCUGUAAAUUGAUGUGGCUCUCUGCAUAUGAACUUUAUCAAACAAAACAUACAUGUAUUGUGUAACAUGAAGUCCUAUGAGUGUCAUCUGAUGAAGAUCAUCAAAGGUUAGUUAUUAAUUUUAUUUCUAUGUCUGAUUUUUGUGACUCCUCUCUUUGGCUGGGAAAAAUGGCUGUUCCGCUAGCGGAGCGGGGUUCCUAGACAGGUUAAAACUUCUUCGGGCUAGGGGGCAGUAUUCGGAAGUUUGGAUGAAUGGGGUGCCCAAAGUAAACUAGCUGUUACUCAGGCCCAGAAGCUAGGAUAUAGAUAUAAUUGGUAGUAUUGGAUAGAAAACACUCUAAAUGUUCCAAAACUGUUAAAAUAAUGUCUGUGAGUAUAACAAAACUGAUAUGGCAGGCGAGAACCCGAGGACAAUCCAUCCAGAAUUUUUUUUUUCCAGCUUACCCUUGAUUACUAUGGCUGUCAAUUGAAAUAUAAAAGGAAUACCUCCCAGAUUGCAGUUCCUAGGGCUUCCACUAGCUGUCAACCGUCUUUAGAAAGAGUUUCAGGCUGUUUUUUUUUAAUUAGCUAGAAGAUGUAGUUUUGGUGUUUGUUGUGCGUUCCGGUGAGUGAGCGUACUUCGUUAUUUAUCUCCGGUAAUGGUCUCCGGUAUUCUCCGUCUGAGAUUUUAUCGUUUAAUGACAUAUUAGGGUACCUGAGAAUUGAUUAGGAAUGUUGUUUGAUAUGUUUGGAAGUUUAUUGGUAACUUACGGGAUUCAUUUGUAUGCAUUUUGAACGAGGGAAACCGGCGUAUUACUGAGUCACGCGCGCCAAUGAAAUUGACUUUUUCUGGGAUUAUAAAGAAGGACUUUAUCGAACAAAAUUACCAUUUGUUAUGUAGCUGGGACCCUUUGCAACCAGAUGAAGAUCUUCAAAGGUAAAUUAUUUGUUUUAUCGCUAUUUCUGACGCCUCUGCUUGGUUGGAAAAUGUAUGUAAUGCUUUUGUGUGUGGCCGCUGUCCUCAGAUAAUCGCAUGGUGUGCUUUCACCGUAAAGCCUUUUUGAAAUCUGACAAAGGGCCUGGAUUAACAAGAAGUUAAGCUUUAAAAUGAUGUAUGACACUUGAAUGUUUAAUAUGACGAUUUCUGUCAUUUGAAUUUCGCGCUCUGCAAUUUCACCGGACAUUGUCAUGGUGAGACGCUAGCGUCCCAAUGAUCCGUAAGAAGUUUUAAGCAUUGAAUACAUUGCAAGUUGAGGGAUUUUCACAACAGUAGCCGGGCUAUAACAAGUCUAUUGUCCUGCUAAUAGGAAACAUUUUCAUGACGGGCUACAUUCUUUAUUGUAACCACAAUGUCAUACAUAAUUUGCAUCUACCUUUCCAAUUACUUUUAGAGUUUGGGAUUUACAAAUGUGUGCUUUUAAUUAUUAGUUACAUUGUUUUAGUUUGAAUGUGCAGACUUCUUUUCUUUAAAUGAUUGUUUUAUGUAGGAUGCUACAUUUUUGAUCAGUUGCAAUUGUAAGUAGGCCUAAUAAAAAAAUAUUGCUUCUAUUAGGAUGUCAAGCCUCAUAGCUGGCUGAGUUAUUUUUAUAAAGGUCUAGGUUCCGAAGAAAUAGUCUCCAAUUAAACCCUCGUUGUUUGUAAAGUCAAAUUAAAAUGAAGAUUAUUGUUGAAAUGAA